GAUGAACGCUGGCGGCGUGCCUAAUACAUGCAAGUCGAGCGAACAGACGAUGCUCUUGCUCCUCUCACGUUAGCAACGGACGGGUGAGUAACACGUGGUUUACCUACCUCUACGACUGAGAUAAGUGCGAGUGACCGUAGCUCAUACCGGAUAAUAUAUUUAACCGCAUGGUUCAAUAGUUUAUGACGUUUUUGCUGUCCCUUAUAGCUGUAUUCGUGUCGCUUUAGCUAGUUGGUAAGGUAACGGCUUACCAAGGCAACGAUGCGUAGCCGACCCGGGAGCGGGUAGGCCCACAGUGGGACUGAGACGCGGUCCUGAGUCUGACGGGCGGCAGCAGCAGGGAAGCGUGGGCAAUGGGCGGAAGACUGAAGGAGCAACGCCGCGUGAGUGAAGAAGGUCUUCGGAUCGUAAAACUCUGUUAGUAUUGAAGAACAAUUGUGUAAGUAACGAUGCACGUCGUGACGGUACCUAGUCAGAAAGCAACGGCUAACUACGUG
rnacentral:rRNA from 1 species